GCCAGGUUAGCUCAGUUGGUUAGAGUGUGGUGCUAAUAACGCCAAGGUACAGGUUCAGUCCCUGCUCACUGCA
rnacentral:tRNA from 1 species